rnacentral:lncRNA from 1 species
CAGAACACAACAUAUUCCUCAUGUGUUUGUGGUGAAGCUGACAUAAACAACCUACUACAGGCCUACCAGUCAUAAAAGCUAAGUUUACUUGGCCUAUUUAAGGACAGUCACAAAAGAGAGUUAAUGGAUACCAAAGUUUGGAAGAGACAGCACUAUCUCACUGUAACUUGGAACUGAACCAGAUGGGGUCUCGUUGUGCUGCCCAGGUUGCUCUUAAACUACUGAUCUCAAGCAAUCCUCCCACCUCUGGCUCUCAAGUAGCUGGGAUUACAGCCGGAACUGCCAAGCCCUGAGAAAUGUGAAUGGAGCAGCUUGGACUUUCCAGAUCAGCUCAGCCACCUGAUACCAGGAAAAGACCUCAGUCAGCAACAUGGUAUUCUGAAUAUCCACCAUGGGACUGCAUCUGUAUCCAGCUGAGUCACAUCAGUAUUCCUGACCCACAAUAUAAUGAGAUAGAAUAAAUCCUUGUUUCUUGAAGCAAA